rnacentral:lncRNA from 1 species
UUUCAAAAGAUACAAUACUUAGGAUUGGGAGGAAACAGGUUAUCAGGGGAUAUACCGGCCUUCAUAGGAAACCUCAGUCAGUUGUAUUAUCUGGGACUUAGUGAAAAUAAAUUAGAAGGGAAUAUUCCUCCAAAUAUAGGAAAUUGUCAAAAGUUAGAAUACCUAAACUUUUCACAAAAUGACCUUAGAGGAUCCAUACGUUUAGAGAUCUUUAGUAUUUCCCCUUUGUCAAAACUUGACUUUUCACGAAACAUGUUGAAUGAUAGAUUACCUAAAGAAGUGGGUAUGCUAAAAAGUAUUGAGGGGGUAGAUGUCUCUGAGAAUCGUUUAUUUGGGGACAUUCUUGGAACCAUUGGUGAAUGCAGAGUCUUACAAGUCCUCUAAUUGCAAGGGAACAAGACCAUCCUCUUUUGCUUCUCUCAAAGGUCUACGGUAUUUAGAUAUUUCAAGAAAUAAAUUGUUUGGACCAAAUCCCGAUGUUAUGCAAAAUAUCUCUAAUUUAGAAUACUUAGAUGUUUCUUUUAACAUGUUGGAAGGUGAGGUACCAACAGAUGGUGUCUUUGGAAAUGCAACCAGAGUAGCAAUAAUUGGAAACAAUAAACUUUGUGGUGGUAUUUCAGAGUUACAUCUACCACCAUGCCCUUUCAAGGGUAGGAAACAUAUAAAAAACCAUAAUUUCAAGUUGAUAGCUAUGAUAGUCAGUGUGGUUUCUUUUCUUCUCAUACUUUCAUUUAUUAUAGCUAUCUAUUGGAUAAGUAAAAGGAACAAAAAAUCAUCAUUAGAUUCUUCAAUAAUAGAUCAACUAGAUAAGGUUUCAUACAAAGACUUACACAAAGGAACUGAUGGGUUCUCGGAUAGAAACAUGAUCGGGUCAGGAAGUUUUGGUUCCGUGUACAAAGGAAAUCUUGUGUCAGAAGAUAAUGUUGUUGCAUAAUGUUGUUGCAGUAAAGGUCUUGAACCUCCAAAAGAAAGGAGCUCACAAGAGUUUUAUUGUUGAAUGUAAUGCACUCAAAAAUAUUAGACACCAAAAUUUAGUCAAGGUUCUAACAUGUUGUUCUAGUACAAAUUACAAAGGCCAAGAAUUUAAAGCUUUAGUUUUUUAUUACAUGAAAAAUGGAAGCUUAGAACAAUGGUUGCAUCCUCAGAUUUAAGUGCAGAACCUCUAACAACAUUGAACCUUGGUCAUAGAUUAAACAUCAUUAUGGAUGUUGCUUCUGCAUUACAUUAUCUUCAUCGAGAAUGUGAGCAAUUGGUCCUUCGUUGUGAUCUAAAGCCAAGCACACUUCUUGAUGAUGACAUGGUCAUGUGAGUGAUUUUGGCACAGCAAGACUUGUCUCAGCCAUUUGUGGUACCACUCAUAAGAAUACUAGUACAACUGGAAUAAAAGGAACAAUUGGCUAUGCUCCUCUGGGUAUGUUUUAAAUUAUUGAUACUUCCAUCGUUUAUUUGAAUCCUAAUAUGUUUUGAAGUAGUUUAAAAUCAUACCAGUGACAUAUUAUUAACACCUUUUGUUACAUGCUUUAGAGUAUGGGAUGGGUUCUGAAGUAUCUGCAUGUGGUGACAUGUAUAGCUUUGGAAUCCUUAUGUUGGAAAUGCUUACCGGUAGAAGACCCACUGAUCACGCUUUUGAAGAUGGUCAAAAUCUGCAUAACUUUGUUGCAAUAUCAUUUCCUGCUAAUCUUAAGAAAAUUUUGGACCCACAUCUUUUAUCAAGGGACGCAGAAGUAGAAAUGGAAGAUGGAAAUCUUGAGAAUCUUAUUCCAGCUGCAAAGGAGUGCUUAGUUUCACUUUUUAGGAUUGGACUUAUGUGUUCAAUGGAGUCACCAAAAGAAAGACUGAAUAUUGAGGAUGUAUGUAUAGAGCUUAGUAUAAUCAGAAAGGCCUUUCUUGCCGGUGAGAUAAACUGAUAUUUUUAUGUGUAUUCGAAUCAUAACUAAAUCAUUAUUUGGUUAUGGAGUUAUCAUUUGAUUUUUAUUAUCAUAUUUUGCAUUUAAUAUUCCUAAACUUCAAAAUACAAUGGUAAUAAUGGAUUUCUUUUUGAUUUGAAUUUCAGGUGCUCAAACUUGUAAUUAGCAAUUCAGCUUGAUGCGCAGUUUUUACGAAACUUAUAGGUCAAGCUUGAAGCACAUGUGACAAUGUUUAGUUUACCCAUUUGGUUAGCAGUAUUUGUGUAUUUUCCUCCAACCUAGGCGUUGCUUUAAAUAAAUAAUGUUGCACUGCUUUUCUAAUUCAAUAAACUGAGAAUUGAUACUUCUCCCAUAUUUCUCUUCAUUCUUCUGUCAUGUAUUUUCAUUUUCAUACUAUUAUAAAUUUAUCGUUGUAGUUAAAAUUGCACGUUCAAAGUUGUUCCAUAAAAAGCUAGUACAAUUGGGACAAAAGGAACAGUUGGCUAUGCUCUUCUAGAUACGUACUAAAGUCUUGAAUCUUCCAUUGUUUCUUUUAAUAAUCCUAUGUUUGGUGUUGACUUAAAAUUAUACCAGCGACAUAGUAUUAACAGCUUUUCCUACAUGUUUUAGCGUAUGGAGUCUUGGUUUUUAGCUAUAGUUUCUAAAUUAAACCUGGUAUUUUAUAUUUUGAUUAAAAUUUUGAUAAUAACUAUAAGGACUUUAUGCUCUAAUUUUUCAGUGUAUGGAAUUCGAUCCGAGGUGUCAAUUUAAGGCGACAUGUAUAGCUUUUGAAUUCGGGUAUCAAUUUGUGGUCUUAUGGAAUUGAAGACCCACAAAUGAAAUGUUUCAAAAUGAUCAUAAAUUCACAAUCUCCAUAAUUUUGUGAAACUUUCAAUUUCAAAUAACCUUUUCCAUAUUUUCGAUCGGUCUAUUCUCUUCAUUGAAUUAGAACACAAUACAAACUAUGGAAACCUUGGCAGCAUUCAUUCAAAUUGUUGGACAAUUUUACGACUCAACGUGAUUAUGACUCAACAUGUAAUUGCAACAAGAUUGAUACUAUGCAUUCAUUUUGUCCGAAGAACAUGAUCAAUUUGACGCUGUUGAUUCAUAACAGAAGUUCUCAUAAUUAGGGGUAGUUACAAUCUUACAGAUUUGGUAAAAGAAACAAUAAAGCUCAGUAAAUAAGAAUAGCAGUUCAUAUGUGGAGGGACAUCAGAUGCCAAAGAGUCAAUAAUUACCGAACCGAGGACAAAGGUUUGUUAUGAUGACACAAAUUAAAAAUAACUUCUUAGAUACGUGAGUGAGACCGCAUUACAUCGUAUGAUUUGGGCUGUACAAAUCAUAUUGUGGUCAACGGCAAUCCAAUAUCUUACUUUAAUAAUCUCAUUAUAUAGUUGGUGUCUUAAAAUUCAUUCACAGAGUAUGCUGAAAAUUGCCAGGUAAAGUCCAUAUAAGAGAGGGAACUAAUAACUACAUAACAUUUGUUGCGAAGAAGUGGAAGCAUUGUCUAAUGGGGAGGCACUUUAUGAUCAAUAACAGACCAUUGAAGCCUGAAGUUCCUAACUGACCAAAGAUGUCAAAAAUCACGACAUAGAUAGACUUCAAAAUGAAUGGAUUUUGAUUUUGAAUCUAUCAUAAACCAGACAAUGAGAAUGAGGAUGCACAUAAUUUUUCAUGGCAGAUGAUGAAUGCAGAUUUCAGUUUACAAAUAAUUCGAUCAAGAUCAUCUAUUAGGUCAGAUGAAGCUUGGAACUCAAGUUUCAUACAAGGAACUCAAGAUGAACUAGUGAAGAAAAUUGAGCAACCAGUGGCAGGUUGAGCAGCUCAAAUAGAAAUGCAUUUCCAAUAAUGCUCAAGAAUUUAACAAAACUGAAACCAAACUCCAAUCUAUUAUGACAACCAACAAGAGACUGAGGUGUUUAAUGUUCCAAUUGAACUCACACAACCUGCUAAACAAAUAGAAAUAGGAGUUCAUCUUUUUUAAGCAAAUUCUCUUGUCUGCAUUCUUUAUGUAACACAUACAUUAGUGUUGGUUCACUUACUAAAAUUUUAAAGUUCAAACUUCAUAUAUAAUACCUUAAAUAUGUGUAGAAUUUUUCUAGGAGGAAACUUUAUGUUGAGGUUUAGUAUACCAGUGUAUCAGAUUUUUUUUUAAGAAGCUAAAUUAGUCCACCCAAUCAACGUAUCAGAUGGCAAUCAAUAGCUCUUUGGAUUAGCAUGCCAAAUCCAAAAUGAAUAAACCACACACCAAUAAGAAAUCUGCAGAAAUCAUUUGGACAAAUAAGUUUGGAAGACUUUUGUUUCAGUUACGUGUUUAUGAAGUUUUGGAUAUUUCAUUUGAUUGAGCCUUCUAAUACACACUUAUUAUUAUAGUCAAAAAUAAAUAAAUAAUACACUUAUUGAGAUUUUUUUACUGGAAAUAGCUCACCUCGUUUCAUUAGUAAUAAUAGUACUAAUACAAAACUUAUACAAAUGGGUAUGUGGGUAAAAAUGCUGAAAUGUGGUCGUUCUUGGUAAUACAUGAACAACUUCAUUGACUUUUCUACUAGUAAACUCGACACAAGAGUUUUAGAAAAAGGACCUUACAGUCUUGGAUAAUAGCGCCCAAGCUCAUAAACACUUCACUUUUACUCUUAAACCUGACAACUACCGUUUGAGAGUCAAGCAUAAAAUUGACGUUUUAUCCAAACUUAGCCCUUGAACCCAUUUGAGGGCAUGAAGAAGGCCUAUAGCUUCACCUUUGUCAACAUCUUCCGACCGUUGGCUGCUUGCUUGAGAAUGUUAUACAUUUCAUAUUCUAGGUUCAUGUAAAAACGAAAUACGUUUACUAACCUAUUUCUAAGGGUAAUGAUCAUUUCCUUGCAACAUUAUAUUAAAUAAAUAAUGCAAGGGAAUUUUUGAAAUUAUGAUAUUAAACGUGGAUAUAUUAGUUGAUAAUUUGUUAGUAAUUUUGUAAACCAAGGUAAAUCAAUUUUUGUAAGUCAUGACUAAUCCAUUGAGGUAACUCAAUUCUCUUUAACGUUUUUUUUUAUACUAAAAAUAAGGUUUUUAUUUUCCCUUUUAUGCUCUAGGUAAUGAAUAUUUAUAUAAAUUUUACACACAAGAUACCCGUUACAAAAUUAAAUUUUUAUUAAUACAUCUUCAAUUUAUGUGAAAGUGAAAUCUCAACAUGUUGAGAUUGGCGUUGGCUUAUUCUGAUGAUGAAAGCACUCAUAUCAUAACGAACGUAUUAAACAAGGCACGACUGGUAGUAAUACUCAAAUCUAAAAGAAAUAAAAACUAAAAAAAGUGGAAAAGUGAUGCAUUUCAAGAGUGAGGCAAUCAAAAUUUUAAUAUGUUGGUCCACAGUUUGGUGUUGACAGUAUCUUUGAGUUUUCUACCCCAAAAGAAACGAUUAUCAAGCUAAUAUGUUAGUAUUUGUUUUUAUUAUUAUACGAUGAAAGCACUUAUAUCAUAAGGAACACGUAUUAAGCACUGCAGGGAAGGACUGAAUACUGAUAUGACAAUGAGACGUAAUUUAUUUUCUACCCCAAAAGACACGACUCUCAAGUUGGAAAGUCAUCAGCACGUAGCAUUAUCAUAUACGUUUGUCCACAUAGAUAUUGGCAUUGGCUUAUCUUCCAGUUUUCUACCCUAAAAUAUACGAUUGCCAAGCUGAAAUGCUAGUAUUUGUUUUUAUUAUGAUUAUGAUGAAACCAACAAUAAGGUCGUAUUCAAGGCAGAACGAAGAGCCUAGCCCAAAAAAUAAGUCUAAAAUUGGAGACCCCAAAAUAAUAAUAAUAAUAGUAAUAAUAAUUAGGCCGGGGUCUAUUCAGCCAAAAAAAAAAGAUUACUUAAAACUUAGUUUUUUAUUGUUCUAUUUAGAAUUUAUCAUGUGAUGUUAUUAAAGGGAGUUCAAACUCCUAAUUUGCAACAACGGCAUUGUUGAAGCUUAUAGCAAAAUAGAAAGGCACACUAUAAGUGAGAUUUUGAAACAUGUGCAAAUUAGACAAUUUGUAAACCUCCACGAACAGCUAUGUAUCAACGUGAUAAAAAUCUCCGACAACACUUUAGAGCCGUUUGAAACCAAUGAAAACUAAAAUCAUGUUAAAAUUGUUUAAAAUUUUGUAAAAUAGACUUAUAAUGUUAAAAAAAAAAAUGAGUGGCCUGUGACCUCCAACAACGUCAUAGAGGUCCGGUUUAAAUAUGAAUUCUUUAGUUAUUCACUGAUACUUGAAAAAAAAAAAUGCAGAAUUGAUACGUAGAACCUUCAUUCACCAGAGGUUUGUGAAAGACCAACGCCAAACUAUGAUAGGGCAACUUAUCUCCAAUUUGGCUUAGCUUUAGGGAUGUGUUGUGACCUCACAUUAUCAGUAAAUUAGAUACUACCCCAAUUGAAGACUUUCCUGUAAAUGGAGGCUUAAAAUUUUGAUUGCCUCACUCUUGGAGAUUUCACUUAAAUUGAAGAUGUAUUAAUAAAAAUAUAAUUUUGUAAUGGAUAUAUUGUCAACCGGUUCCGUCAUGAAUCCGUCUAAAAUUGGAAAAAGUGAGGAGGACCAAUUAGAGGUAUCGAGUUGCAAAUCUCAUUCCAAAUCAUGCCUAUAAACUUUUAUGAAUUAUUGUCGGGUUUACACUAUGUUACUCAAAUUAUUAUGAAAAUUCCACAUCUUGCUUAUAUGCCAUAUUCCAUUGCACAGUUUAAUAAAAUUUUGAAUAUUCAUGUUACUAUUACUACUUUGAUGGAUGGGGAAUAUUGUUGCUAAAAAUAUAAAAGAUUUGUUUCAAAUAUAUUUUGUGCUGAAAAUAUAUUUAUGGACAAUAAAUAUAUUUUUGUAUCGUAUGAAGAACGAUUUGAUGCAAAUAUAUUUUGAAAGGGAAUAUUAUAUUUUUGAUGCAAAUAUUCUUUCACUGAAGGAGAAAAAAAAAACGUAUCUUCAGUGUGGUAUUUGUUCCAAAUUUAUGAGUUAUACUUUUACUAUAAAUAUAGACCUUGUAUCAGGCUAAACUUUGAGAGAGAUAGAGGGGCUGAAACAAGGGUUUAGAAUGGCAACAACAAAACUAGAGUUUGUCUCUUUGGGAACAAACGAUAGGGUUUGAGGGUUGAUUCACCUUGGGAAACACUAUUAGGAUUCAGUCUCUUGCUUACGGAAAGAGAUUGAGACUUUGGGUAGAAUUAGGCAGGAGACUUAUUCUUUUAACCCAUUGAUUUCUCUUUGUAACGUUACUCAUCAUAUAGUGGAUCGGAGGGCUGCUCUCUCCCCCCAGACUAGGUCAAUUUGGACCGAACUAGGUCAACAAAUUCUUUUGUGUUCUUCUCGCCGUUGUUUUCUACUUUUGACUUGUAUUUAUAACUUCCAUACACUUUGUUUUGGUUGCUUGAUUAUCCUUGCUCCACACAUCAAGUUUGUUAUUGGUGUGAUUUUCAUCGAAUUCACAACAUAUUUGUUAAUUAUUGUUUUUGCAGUGCUGCUAUUUACAGCGAAACAAAUCAUCAAGAAAGUGUCCCGAAAUGUUUUCAGCCGUUGGAUAUCCUCUUUAGUUAAAGUAAAGAUGCUGAAAAAAAAAGGAAAGAAGUGAUAGCAAGGCCAUUUUAACAAGGUCGUGAAUAUGUCGGGAUAAAAAAAUUCAGGAUACUUAUCAUUACCCUUGUUUUUGUUUUUGAUUACUCAUUUAUUGCAUUUACUAGAUUGGAUGUAUGUUAUGUAUCUUUAAAAGUUUUGUGGCGUUCAGGUGUAAACUUCCUAACAAUUUGCGCCAUCUGGAUACACACUUCUAAAAACAUACAGUCCACAAAAAAAGUUGUUAAUUUGGAUACAAAAUUUAAGUCUAGAGACAGUGCAACAUACUGCAUCCGUGUCUAUAUUACAAAUGACAACAGAGAAUUAUUUCAGCUUUACCUACUCACGCAAGAACACCUGAAAUUAGGAAUUUUGAAAUUUAGAGGUGAAUACAAGAAAAUAAAUUAUAAUUACAUAAGCAUAUGUAACGAAGAGUAGAAAACGCAUAUAAAAUUUUAGUUUGUCUCGCCAUCAACAAAGACCGUUCUGAUUAUAUUUAGCUCUCUUGUAACAUCUAUUAUGCUCAUUCUUUCUUUUGGUGAUUCCAUUGAACAAGCAAGUCCAAUCCUUAGAAGUGAAACUAAGCACUUCUCCUUAGCUGGAAUAAGAUUCUCAUUAUGUCCAUCUUCUAUUGAAACAAGAUGUGGGUCCAAAAUCUGUAUAAGAUUAUCUUGAAAUGAACUUUCAACAAACAUAUGUAGAUUUUGACCAUCUUCAAACAUUUCAUCUGUGGGUCUUCUUCCGGUGAUCAUUUCCAACAUAAGCAUCCCAAAGCUAUACAUGUCACCAGAUGUGGAUACUUCAGAACCCAUUCCAUACUCUACAAGAUUAAGCAAAAGCAUUUAAUACUCUAUAACUAGUAGAAUGUCAAAUAUAAGUGAUCUAAGAAAAGUCUACAAAGUACCUGGAGGAGCAUAGCCAACAGUCCCUUUAAUUCCAAUUGUACUAGUUUCCUGAUGAGAUGUGUCUUCAAUAACUGAGACAAGUCUUGCUAUGCCAAAAUCACUCACAUGAGCAACCAUGUCAUCGUCAAGAAGGACGUUGCUUGGCUUUAUAUCACAAUGAAGGACCACCUGCUCACAUUCAUGAUGAAGAUAAUGUAGUGCAGAAGCAAUAUCGAUAGUGAUAUUUAAUCUAUGAACAAGGUCCAACGUUCUUGGAUGCUCUGAAUUCACAUUCCAUGGAUGAAGCCAUUGUUCUAAACUUCCAUUUUUCAUGUAAUCAAAAACUAAAGCUUUAAAUUCUUGACCUUUAUAAUCAGUACCAGAACAACAUGUUAAAAUCUUGGCCAAAUUUCGAUGUCUAACAUUCUUGAGUGCAUUACAUUCGGCAAUAAAACUCUUAUCAGCUCCCUUCUUUUUAAGGUUCAGAACCUUGAUAGCAACAGAUUUAUCUUGUGAUACGAGAAUUCCUUUGUAUACGGAACAAAAACUUCCUGAUCCAAUCAAGUUUCCAUCUGAGAAUCCAUCAGUUCCUUGAUGUAGUUCUUGGUAUGAAACCUUAACUAGCUGGUCAGUUGUAGGUGUAUCAGAAGAUAAUUUCAUGUUUCUUUUCCUUACCCAGUAGAUGGUUAGAAUAAAUAUCAGUAUAAUAAUGAAAAUGACACUAAUUAUCACUGCUACCAACUUCAACUUGAGGUGUUUUGUAGGUUUUAUAACUUUGAUAGGGCAUGGCGGUAGAUGCAGCUCUAAAACUCCUCCACAAAGCUUAUUGUUUCCAAUCAUUGCUAACCUGCUUGCAUUUUGAAAGACACCUUUCAUUGGAACCUCACCUUCCAACAUGUUGAAAGAUACAUUGAAGUAUUCUAGGAAAACAAUAUUCUGCAAACUUGUAGGAAUUGAUCCAGACAACUGAUUUCUUGACAUGUCUAAAUAUUGAAGACCUUUGAGAGAUGCCAAAGUGAAAGGUAUUGUUCCGAGGAAAAGGUUUCCUUGCAAAUGAAGGUAUUCUAAGUUUAUGCAAUCCCCAAUGGUUCCUGGAAUGCCACCUGAGAGAUGAUUUUCAGAGACAUCUAUUGUACCUAUAUUUUUUAGCAAACCUACUUCAUCAGGUAAACUACCACUCAAUGAAUUUUGUGACAAGUCCAAUCCCUUUGUUAAGGAAUAAAUUCUAAAAAUUUCUAAGGGUAUGGCUCCUCGAAGGUUGUUUAGUGACAGGUUUAAAAAUUGCAACUUUUGGCAUUCCCCUAUACUUAGAGGAAUAUUCCCUUCUAAUAAAUUUUCUUCCAUACGCAAAACAAACAACUGACUGAGGUUUCCUAUGAAGGCCGGUAUAUCCCCUGAUAACCUGUUUCCUCCCAAUCCUAAGUAUUGUAUCUUUUGAAACAUCCUAAAAGUUUUUGGAAUCGUUCCUUCUAAACGAUUAUCUUCCAUGGUUAAGAGAAUCAAGCUAGUUAGAUUUCCUAAUUCUAUAGGAAUUUUACCAUAUAUUUGAUUACCCCCAAUAUAUAAUUCACUUAGUCCAGGGGAUAAGUUACCUAUCAAAUUUGGCAAACUACCUCCAAAAUUGUUGUUGGUUACAGAGAGAGAGUACAACUGGCUACAAUUUGCUAAUGAUUUUAAAAACUCUAAAUCCUUACUGGAAUUGUCACCUAAUUUGUUAUCUUGCAAACUUAGCGACCAAAGUUUCUGUAGCUUCCCUAGACAUGGAACUUGUCCGACAAAAUGGUUACCACCAAUAUCAAACCUUAUCAAAGUAUAAGCAUUUGCAAUGGAAGUUGGGAUUGGACCAGAGAAUUGAUUUCCUCCAAUUCCAUAGAAAUAGAGGUUAGGGAGAGUGUUGAACAUAUUGGGCGGAAGAGAGCCACUAAAGCUAUUCGCUGCAACUGAGAUCCCCGUAAGAGAUGACAUAUUAUAAAGACAAGAAAGAAAUGUACCAGACAAUUUGUUGGCAUGCACUGCUAUAAACUUCAACUGUUUUAAGAAGCAAAUUUCACGUGGAAUAUUUCCUACCAAGUUAUUAUAACCAAUUGAAAAAAUAUUAAGAGAUGAAAGAUUCCUUAUGGAUGGUGGGAUUUUUCCAGAUAAAUUGUUUGUUCCGAUAUAGAAAAUGUGAAGCUUUUGAAGAGAGCCAAAUUGGCUAGGUAUUUUUCCAAAAAGUUUGUUUCCUUCUAAGUCUACGCUUUUGAGCUCAGAGCAGUUUGUCAAGUUUAAAGGAAAUUCUCCAACCAGAGAGUUGUUGGAUAGAAGAAAAUAUCUUAAUCUUGACAAACGACCCAACUCUUGUGGAAUGUUUCCAUUGAAAUUGUUGUUUUCAAGGUUAAGAAAUCUCAAACGAGAAAGAUUACCAAUAUAUGGAGAUAUGGAUCCAUGCAACUUGUAUCCUGACAGCUUCAACUUGGUAACUCUUUGAUGCUUGGGACUGCAUAUGAUUCCAUUCCAGUUGCAAAAGUGAGUUGAACUAUUCCAUUUAUUUAGGAUACCAUAUGGGUCACUAGAUAUUAAUUGCUUGAAUUGGAGCAAUGCCAAAUGAUCGGUUUGGUUUCCUAGUGCCACUGCCACAGUUCUGUUUGGGCCAAACCACAUUAAGGCUAAGGUAAAGAGAUGAAGGUAUACAUACCAAGACAUAGGUAACAUCAAAAUAUAAGGCUUCAUUUGGUUGAUGAGCUAUACAGAGGGUGUUCUUUUUUUGGGGGGUGAUCAGAGAGCUAGAGGCAUGGCCGUCCCUAUGAAAUAGGAGGCUCGGCUCUCUAUUUAAAAUAGACGCCAAUAAAUAAAAACGCAAUUUUUUUGUGUAGUUAAGCUUUAUUAAAAAAUCAGAAUCAGAAUAGUUUCUAAACAUGAAACGAAAUACAAAAAAAUUAAGUGAAAGAGAGGUAGAAUUUACUAACGGUGCCGUUUGGAUUGAUUACUUAUCCGUUGUGGGAAAGGGGAUAACGAAUGAUUUUUGUGAAAAAUAAAUGAUUGUUGUGAUUCUUUCAAUGAAAUAACUUUUCAAAUUAACUGAUUAAGUGAUUAUACAAAUUGGGGGUGGUUUGAUAGUACCAUAUUUAUGUUCAGAUAGGAGAACUAAAGUCUAGAAAAAACUCAAACGUGUAAAAAAAGAACAUAUAUUUUUUAUUUAAAUGGGGGUGGGUAUUAGAGUUGAUUUUUCUAAAGCCCAUAGCUUUUGGAGGCCCGGCUUGAUUGAGCACCUUGCACUCCCUCAAGGCCGGGCCUGGCUAGAGGGUGUUGAUAAUUAGGCCGGAAUGCAAUGCAUGGUGAUUCCUUCUCUUUGAGAAUGCAUUUAAAUGCUAGAUUCAACGUGAAGUACGAAAUGCAAAAUUUAAUUUUGUGAAUGGACACGUAAGAAAUAAUGAUUAAAUAAUAAGAUCAAAAUUUGUUGUAUUUAAAACAUUUUUAGUAUGAAAAUUAUUUAUAAUAUCAAAUUUUAUUUAAUAUAUGUUGAUGAAAUAUUCUUUAAAAAAAUGUUGAUUAAAUAAAAUUCUAAAAUUAUAUUUUUUUUUUGAAAACUUUAAUAAUUAGAAUUGAUAAUUUGUUUUUUUGAAUAAUAAUUAUAAGUGAUAAUUAAAAGGCAACAAUAUAUUAGAAUUUGAACCCAAGAGCACUUAGAUGAGAUGGAACGGGUCUCUUCUAGAUUAACCAAGGUCCUGGGUUCGAAUCCAGCCUUGGGCAUGCAGCAGUGUUAAAACUCUUAGGGAGAGUCUGCCGCCCAUUUGAGUCCCACAAUGCUCGAGGGAUUAGUCUCUGCAGUUGCGCGCGGAGGAUACCCGAUUUACACCAAAAAAAAAUUAGAAUUUGAAAUGGAGGGAGUACUAGUUAUAACUUAUGAGUAAUAUGGCUUGACUUCCAACUUGAGAAUCGUGUCUUUUGGUGUAGAAAAUAAGGUGUCAUCGUCAUGCUAUAUAUUAUAUAUAUAUGACCCGCUGAUGUUGCUGCACACCAAUCAUUCAUUAUCAUAUCAGUAUUAGUCCUGCCAUGUUUAAUACGUUUGUUAUGAUAUGAGUGCUUUCAUGGUAUAAUAAUAAUAAAAACAAAUGCUAACAUUUCAGCUUGGAAAUCGUUUCUUUUAGGGUAGAAAACUGGAAGAUACUGCCACGGCUGAAAGUGACUGAUCUGUGACUUAGAAAAGUCACUCAACAUUUUCCUCUCACCUUCUUCGUUCGUUCUAACUCCUAUUGCAGCCAAUAUUUAAAUCCACUAGAAGAAGAGAGAGCAUAUCAAACCCAAACACAACCACCAUAUAGCAUAAGAAAACUAACUAAUCUAUUAGCGCCUUGUUACUUAAACAAAUGAAGCCUUUUCCUUUCUUGUUAUCUAUAUGUUUUGGCAUGUAUACCUUUAUCUCUUUCUUCUCCAUACUUUAAGCUUAACUUGGUUUGGCCCAAACAAAACUACAACACUGGCCUUGGCAUUUGAAAACCAAACUGAUCAUCUGGCAUUGCUCAAAUUCAAGGAGUCUAUAUCCAGCGACCCAUAUAGAAUCCUCGAUUCUUGGAAUGCUUCUACACAAUUCUGCAACUGGCAUGGAGUCUGUUGAGAUUGUCUUCAAAUUUGUGGUCUGGAAGAACAGGGAAAUCGUGACACGAUUUUGGUAUCGUGACACGAUUCCGGGUGCCGUGAGAUAGGUUGCAGGGUGCAAAAUCGUGGCACGAUUUGGGAAAAUCGUGACACGAUCGUGAAACUUGCUCGUUAAGUAUCCGUGAUAAGGACUGGUCGUUUCUUCGGUGGUACGCAGAUCGUGACACGAUUUGGGAAAUCGUGACACGAUUUCAACAGAGGAAGACUAGUAUGUAAGUGUUCUUGUGCAGAUUUGAAGAGAGAGUUGGAAGAGAGAGAGACUUGGGAAAUCAAAGGGGGAACUCUAGGGUUUAGGGUUCUUUGAUUAGAGUAUCUCUUGGGUAGAAAACAUGGGAAACACCUUGUAAAGAGAGAAUCAUUGAGUGUCUUGGUGAGAUUGGGAGAAGGGUAGAAAUUAGGGUUUGUUCAUAGUGAACUUGUCAAGCUAAUUUCUUGUAACCUUUUGUAUCCCUUUUGUAAGAACUCAUUUGAUAGUGGAUUGGAGAGUACAAUCUCUCCUCCAGAGUAGGUCAAGUUUGGACCGAACUGGGUGAACAAUCUCUUGGUGUAUUUGUUUUCUACUUCCCUCUCCUUGUUUAUCUUGUGAUUGUGCUUUGUGUUUCACACUUGUUUCCUAGAUUAGAUCUAGGUGGUGUUUUGUUGUUUGUUGCUUGCACAAUACACUUUGUUUGGUGGUUACCACUCUCCGUCGCUCCACACAUCAUUAUUCUUUGUAUUGGUGUGGUUCGAUCCGAUCUUGGAGAUACGGGGAUACACAACAGAGUCACAUGCAAUUCCAAGCAUCAAAGAGUUACAAAAUUAAUGUUACAAGGAUACAAGUUGCAUGGAUAUAUAUCUCCUUAUAUUGGCAAUCUCACUUGUAUAAGAAACCUUAACCUUGAAAGCAAUGGUUUCUUUGGAAAAAUUCCACAGGAAUUGGGGCAAUUGUUACAAUUGCAGGGACUUUUUCUCAGUAAUAACUCGUUUACAGGAGAAAUCCCUACGAACUUGACAAAUUGCUCCAAUCUUAAAGUCUUGCGCUUAUAUGGAAACAAACUCACUGGAAAAAUACCAACUGGAAUUGGCUCUCUACAAAAUCUUCAUGCAAUGAACAUUGGGAAAAUAAUUUAAUUGGAGAAAUACCGCCAUUCAUAGGUAAUCUUUCUUCCUUGAUAGGUCUUGGGGUUGGUUACAACUAUUUAGAGGGUGAUAUUCCACAAGAAAUAUGUCAUCUUAAAAACUUGACAAUAAUGUUACUGCCUGUGAACAACCUAUCUGGUACAUUUCCACCUUGUCUUCACAAUAUGACAUCUCUUACUGGCAUCUCAGCCCCAGCAAAUAGCUUCGGUGGCUCUCUUCCACCCGACAUGUUCCAAACUCUCCCCAAUCUCCAAGUUUUUGAAAUAGGCGGGAAUCAGAUGUUAGGUAAAAUCCCUAUUUCCAUUGCAAACGCUUCUACCCUAACAUUGUUUGACAUCAGUUCAAACCAUUUUGUUGGACAAAUUCCAAGUCUAGGGAAGUUACAAGAUCUUAAUUAUUUGAACUUAGAAUUGAACAUUUUAGCUGAAAAAUCAAUUAAAGAUUUUGAAAACAUUGACAAAUUGUAGUAAAUUAUACGGUGUUAGUAUAGCUGCUAAUAAUUUUGGAGGUCAAUUGCCAAAUUUGGUGGGCAAUUUAUGCUCCCAACUUAGUAGACUAGCCCUUGGGGGUAAUGAGAUAUCGGGAAAAGUUCCUGCUGAGUUGGGAAAUCUAGUAAAUCUAGUUCUCUUGAGCAUGGAAAAUAACCAAUUUGAAGGAAUUAUUCCAGCUACAUUUGGGAGAUAACCGUUUAGAAGGAACGAUUCCAAAAACUUUUGGGAUGUUUCAAAAGAUACAAUACUUAGGAUUGGGAGGAAACAGGUUAUCAGGGAAUAUACCGGCCUUCAUAGGAAACCUCAGUCAGUUGUAUUAUAUAGGAAUGCGAGGGAUACAAAAUGGUAGUGGUCAAAUUUACCGAAAGAUAUAAUGCAAGGGAAUUUUAUAUAAUAGCUUCACCUUUGUCCACAUCUUCCGACCAUUGGCUUGAGAACUGAACAUUAUUUUACAAAAAAUUUACCACGAACCCCCGCCAACAAGAUAGUCGACAUAAAAUGGGCGGAAUGCGAUUUUCAGCUUUAUACCUCUAAUUGGUCCUCCUCACUUUGUCCAAUUUUAGACAAUUCAUGGUGGAACUGGUUCAUCCAUUUUAUCAUCCCUUGGUAGGACUAUCAAAACUAGAUAUAAGCCUUCGUGUUGCGCGGAUAUCUUCAAUGUUUAUUUUGUGAAAAAAUUAUAGAAUCAAUACCUAUUAACUAUUUAUAUAGGGGAGCUUGCGGAAGAAAAUGAAAGAUUGGUGUGACGGAAUUGGUUUUCUCUACUUUCGUUUUUUGUAACCGUGAAAGAUAAUUUUUGGUCGUUGAGAAGUAAAAUUUACUGAAAGAUGUAUAUAUGAUUUCAAAA